GAAAUUUAAGGGAAAGAUGAAGCAUGAUCGAUGAGAUUGGAAUUACCUUGUACCAACCAAAAUGCCGUGUCAUUAAUUGGCUCGGUAGCUUAGUUGGAAAAGCACUUGUCUAGCGUAUAAGGGUCGUGAGUUCAAAUCUCACCUGAGCUGUGGAUUUUUUCGCAAUUUUACUAAUAAUAUAUCCAUCUGUACAUAUGUACGUUGAGUUUCAUUGAAAAUCAUUAAUUGACCACACGGAUUGGUAUACCGAAGACUUUGCCCUUAAGUCAUCAUUUAGUUAUCUAACUUUGCUGAAAAAUUCAUAACAAUCGAACAAUCCGUUUUUGCUGUACAGCUUUUAGAAUAUUUUUGAACUAUUUUCGCAUACACCCUUUUGAAAAGUUAGUCGUGAGAGAAUAUGAAGGUUUAAUAUCGAAAAAUGGCGAUUUAGAUGAAAUUGAAAAACUGUGCAAAGUUUCAGAUAUUUUUGAAAUGGUCGCUCAGGAUCGACUGACAUGACCCCGUGGAAUUCCUCGAAAGCGAAAUAUGAGUAUGACGAAAUUUAUUGCAUCAAAGUCUAAGUCGAAAAAAAAUCGCAAUAACCGUAGUUGAAAAUAUAUCAUUUUUAUUUUUUUAGCCUUUUGUCUCGUCCCUAGCUUAUAACACAUACUUUGAGUGAUUUUUUUUCACCGUGUAUGUCAGAUAGUAACAUUUUUGAAAUCCCAGUGCGAAAAAUGUCGAGCUCAGUCACACAAGGUUGACCUCAAAUCAAGAGCAAAUUUUCAAUCCGACCUAAGUAACAUUUCAAUAUUAUCGAGAAAAUCGAAUUCAAAGUUUUGGUUUUCAUUUUUAAUUCCUAUUUAAAGAUCAAACCGAAACCAAUAUAAUCAAUGCGCGCAAAUGACAUCAGAUAACAGCAUUUAUUGCUUCCUAUUUGAAAAUAUGGAAAAAGUUGAAAAAAACAUUAGAUUUUUGCAUCAAAACAUUUUUAAGACAUUUGGUGUCAGAAAACAUAGUUAAGACAUUUUCUUAAGUCAUUCUGAAAUUUGACGGUUACUUUCGUCGGGUGCGUUACGUCACGUUACGCGAAUUUAUGUUGCUUACGUCGGUGCGGUUACGUCAUACAGUCAGCUGUCAUGUUUGUUAGGACGGAUAAAUACGUCGUCGCGAGCAUAGAUUUGGCACUUAAGUCAAACGGAUUGCUCGAACAAACAAGCAAGUGUUUUCCAUACGACUGUGCUACCAGUGGCGUAUUUACUAAAGCAAAAUAAAUAUUAUUUCAAGUAGGAUGAGCAGGUAUCUCGUAGCAGAAGCUGCAUUAGAAAGCCACCGGGUAUCUACAACCGGAUGAGGAUGUUCCGACUGAGCAAACGGUAACGAGCAAUCUUGCCUCUCGUUUGCGGUAGGCGUGUGCCCGAAGGACAUCUGUGUGGCGG